GUGAAGAUAAUGACGGUAGCAGUAGAAGAAACCCCGGCUAACUCCGUGCCAGCAGCCGCGGUAAUACGGAGGGGGUUACCGUUGUUCGGAAUUACUGGGCGUAAAGCGUACGUAGGCGGAUUAAUAAGUUAGAAGUGAAAUCCCAGGGGUCAACCCUGGAACUGCCUUUAAAACUGUUAGUCUUGAGAUCGAGAGAGGUGAGUGGAAUUCCAAGUGUAGAGGUGAAAUUCGUAGAUAUUUGGAGGAACACCAAUGGCGAAGGCGGCUCACUGGCUCGAUACUGACGCUGAGGUACGAAACUGUGGGGAGCAAACAGGAUUAGAUACCCUGGUAAGUCCACACCGUAAACGAUGAAUGCCAGACGUCAGCAACAUCUUGUUGGUGUCACACCUAACGGAUUAAGCAUUCCGCCUGGGGUGUACGGU
rnacentral:rRNA from 1 species